CCCUCCUGGCCAAGGAGCUGCCCCCCGCCCACGGGCAGACCCUGCUGGUCAUGGUUCCUCCCACCACCGUCAGAGCGCCGGGGACGGGCGGCUCCAGCCCCGCCGCCAGGCCCUUCAAACCGACACCACCUCAGAGGCCAGUCCCAGCCAUCAAAGUCCAAUCCACCUCCUUCUCCUCAAAGAAGUGACAGUCCCAGGACACUGGGGACACCUGGGACAAUCCCUGACCCCCCUUCCUGAGCUGGCUCUCCUGAUUUGCACUGCUGUGGCCACAGGGCUCUCCCGUUCCUCUUGUUUUAGUGACCCUUUUGAUACCAGAGGACUAUUUUUGUAAGACAGAAUUUGUAUUCAGCACACAAACUGUAGUGGUGGGGUGGAGAGGGGAUGUUGGUCCCACAGCUGGACCAUGGCUGGUUGGAGGUGGGGUUUCCAUGGCAGAGAUCCCACCACGGCUCUUGGCACUGCCUCCUGGCCAAUCUCCCUCCCAGCUCUACUUCUCUGGACAUUGCACACGGGCUGGGAUGGGGUGGCUGGGGGCAGCGACCAUCCCCACCGAUGGAAGAUGCUGGUGACAGCGUGAUGUCCUUGCAGCUACCUCCUCCUCCUCCUCCUCCAGGCCUGCCAGCCCCCAGCCUGCACACUGGGCAUCGUCUCGGGGAGAUGUUUGCCAUGACAGAACCUGGUGCCCAGUUUGGGCUGGGCCACGCAGUGCUGGGACAUUUCCAUGAAGGAUCCAAGUUCUCAGGCUCCCCCUGACCUCCUGUCGCAUGGCACAGGGAAAGCGGUGACGAUCCCGGGGUCACCUGGAAGGAGAAACUGUCUGGGAACGUCUGACUGCCCCAAGUGCCGGUGGCAGCUGCUUCCCAGGGUGCUCUUGAGGGCUCGGGAGCCCCCACAACGCUGGCUGUUCCUGCUCCUGGGCCAGGCCCAGCAGAGGCUCCAGGAGCCGCUCACCCUGCCAGGGAAGGAGCCACGAGCAGGAGCAGGAAACUCCUGCCUGUGCCAUUGGCUCGGCCCUGCCUCGGCCAAGCCGCUGCCUUUCUCUGUGCCUCAGUCCCCCUGGGGCUGUUUCCUACCUCCCAGGGCUGUUGUGAGGUUUGACAAAGGGGUUCUUGGAAGGGUCCCCACCCCUCCGCCCAAGGUGCUGUUGACCUGCACAGUUGGUGCCACUUUCCUGUGACUUGACCUGCGGCUCGAUCAGGGUCUGAGAUGACAACAAAGACUUUGAAAAGUC